AUGAGUCCUGUGACCUCAGACCGUGAGGGGACCUACAGGUGCUACGCCUCAUCCAGCAACUCCCCCUACCUCUUGUCACACCCCAGUGACCCCCUGGAGCUGCUGGUCUCAGGAGGCUCUGAGGAUGCACCAGUCACCCCAUGGAGGGGUCCCAACCGGUACCUGUACGUCCUCAU